rnacentral:rRNA from 1 species
CUGAAGAGUUUGAUCCUGGCUCAGAUUGAACGCUGGCGGCAUGCCUUACACAUGCAAGUCGAACGGCAGCACGGGUGCUUGCACCUGGUGGCGAGUGGCGAACGGGUGAGUAAUACAUCGGAACAUGUCCUGUAGUGGGGGAUAGCCCGGCGAAAGCCGGAUUAAUACCGCAUACGAUCUACGGAUGAAAGCGGGGGACCUUCGGGCCUCGCGCUAUAGGGUUGGCCGAUGGCUGAUUAGCUAGUUGGUGGGGUAAAGGCCUACCAAGGCGACGAUCAGUAGCUGGUCUGAGAGGACGACCAGCCACACUGGGACUGAGACACGGCCCAGACUCCUACGGGAGGCAGCAGUGGGGAAUUUUGGACAAUGGGCGAAAGCCUGAUCCAGCAAUGCCGCGUGUGUGAAGAAGGCCUUCGGGUUGUAAAGCACUUUUGUCCGGAAAGAAAUC